GGGGUGCCCUCUAUCCUCGCUGCUGUUUAUGAUGUACAUGGUAAGGAUGGAAAGGGCGCUAGACGGAAGCAAUGCUGGGUUUAUUCUCUCAUACAAACAGGCGGGGUACAGUAAUAGAGCAGCAGCUUCCAGGUUUGUUUUAUGCGGACGACAUUGUGUUGCUAGCAAACCAGCAAAGUGGCAACGUCUAGCUAACAUCUGUGGACAGGAAGGCGAGUCUGAAAUGUAGUGUUAAAAAAUCAGGUUUUAUGGUAUUCAAUGAAAACAGUGAACAGACACUGUCAAUACAGGGCCAGAAAAUACCUCCGGUAAAAGAAUAUAAAUAGCUUGGUAUGUAGAUAAACGAAGGCAAUAGAUAUAUGGAAACACAGGAAA
rnacentral:lncRNA from 1 species